rnacentral:rRNA from 1 species
UACGGGGGGGGGCAAGCGUUGUUCGGAAUUACUGGGCGUAAAGGGCUCGUAGGCGGCCAACUAAGUCAGACGUGAAAUCCCUCGGCUUAACCGGGGAACUGCGUCUGAUACUGGAUGGCUUGAGAUUGGGAGAGGGAUGCGGAAUUCCAGGUGUAGCGGUGAAAUGCGUAGAUAUCUGGAGGAACACCGGUGGCGAAGGCGACAUCCUGGACCAACACUGACGCUGAGGAGCGAAAGCCAGGGGAGCAAAGCGGG